AGCGCGCGGGGGGGAGGGAGGGGAGAGUGUCUGCUGUAUGAAAAAUGACACCGGUGGUCAGGGUUUGUCUGGACGGUCUCACGCAGGGUCAGCUCAGCAUGUUAGCCGAGUUUAUUACGGUUAAUGUGCCUGAUUUGAUACACGAUUGAGGUCCUGCCUGACAUGAAGAUGGCUAAUCUGCUCGGAAAGAAAUUACCAUCAAAUAGUGCUGCAGGAGGGGCGGCGUUAAUCAAGAGGGAAUUUCAUGACGGAUGAAAAACAUUAAUGAGGCACAUCAUCACAAGAACACGUAUGCUGUACUGAUCGUUUGAAGUAACAGCACAAAUACUUGAGAUAGGCUUCACUUUGUGUAAGUUGCAACACCUGAUAGUGUAUUUAGACAGCUGUGUGUAAACAGAGCUGGUUUCUCUCUGGCUUAGCACACAGGGUUUUAUGUUAGUGCUAGAAAAUGGGUUUCUGCUCCUGCCUGCAUUGGCGUUUGUGUAUACAUGUGAAUAUGGGUGUGUUCUGCCUGUGUGUGAGUGUGUAGCUCUACAUGUGAUGAUGUGCAGCUCUCUAGGACCUCACACACACAAACACACGCUGCAUGCUUGUGUCCACAAACACCCGCGCAGACACACAAACACAGAGACUUAUCAGACAAACAGUAAUCACCAAGGGGAGACCAACAGGCCAUAUGGCUGAGAGCGGAGCAGAGCUGAGCUGAGCAGUAAUGGCUGUAAUUCACACCACCAGACUCAGAGGGAGGCGUCAGCUCCGCCGAGGAAAGAGAAACAAACUCUGAUGAUGACAGCGGAGACCUCAAUGAACCGAAAGACAACGACAGGGUACAGCCUGGUGACUGUGUGCCAAAUUGGACCAAAUCUCCCAAGAACGUUCUACAAUUUAUGAGCUCAGUGCUGACUUUCAAUGAAAAUUAAAGCAAGUUUUAAUAGUUUACAAGUAAAA